rnacentral:rRNA from 1 species
UACGGGGGGAGCAAGCGUUGUUCGGAUUUACUGGGCGUAAAGGGCGCGUAGGCGGCGCGACAAGUCACUUGUGAAAUCUCCGGGCUUAACCCGGAGCGGCCAAGUGAUACUGUAGUGCUAGAGUGCGGAAGGGGCUACUGGAAUUCUCGGUGUAGCGGUGAAAUGCGCAGAUAUCGGGAGGAACACCGGUGGCGAAGGCGGUUCUCUGGGCCUGUUCUGACGCUGAGGAGCGAAAGCGUGGGGAGCGAACAGG